UGGAGCGCCACUCAGUCGGAAGUCAGGCUCACAGCUGGCAAGUACAGCUGCGGGGGCAGGAGUCUCUCCAGCCUCUGCAGCAGUGCUACCAAGUGAGCGGUGUCGGGCGGUGACGAGCAGUGGCAGGCAUAGCAGGGCUGGGGUGAGCAGGAGUGGCGCAGUGCCUGGCCCAGGCUUGGGCUCCUCUCCAUCCGCCUGCCAUUUAAUGCUACAUCCCUUGUACCUCAUAAGCCUGCAGUUACAAUCUCUGGAGUAACCAGGAUGAGCCUGAUAUCACCACUGGACUCCUGGAACUCUGCCUAGGGCAUCGAGAUCAAAUCUCAUCCCUUACCAAUUGCCCCAGAGCUACAGAGGAAGGCAGCAAUAUGACAGUGGCCACAAGGUGGCGACUGACAAUGGGGUAAAAGUCAAAGAGAGAUGAACCUGAAGGGUGAGGGCGUGGGUAACAGAGCACCCGGGUCCUCCAAGAUCCCCAACUUUGCAUUGUUCACCUCUGAAUGUCUCUUAUCUGGCUCCAAGCGGUGCAAAGCGUCCAGCAUGGCCCAAGGUGUCCACUGGGGACCUCUUGGCCAGCAAGGUGCGACCCAGGCUGCAGAAGGGACGUUUGGAAAUAUGUUUUCAGGAAGCUGCAGGGGGAGGACAGACUCUCCACGCGACUUCCCAGGAGCUCAGGGGAGUGGAAACUCCCUGGGCACACGGGCUCCCGAUUUCCUUUCAAUGUGCAUGAAUCCGUGCACAGGGUCACUAGUAAUUACAUAAAUAACAUGAAUACAGGCAUGGUAAUGAGGUGGGACAGGGACAAAGAAUCAUCUUUGCUUUUGUUCACAUUUUUAAGUGUUGUGCUUGUUACAACUAGUAUAUGUUACUUCUCUAAUUUGAAAAUGAUCCAAUAUUUAAGACCAACAACAAUGUCCACGUGGUGCGUGUGGCCUGCGCCCCCCAGGCUGCAGCACAGGUGGGAUGGCUCAACCGCAGGCGCCGAAGUUCUGGGCUGUCACUGGGGCCCCAGCUCAGACAGAGGCCCCAGGAAGCUUGUGAGAGCCCCUCAUGGGCCCACAGGGCACCCGCCAUCACCAUCCAGGGCACACGUAGGAUGGAAGUAGGAUGGAAAGCAGUGCCUCCGUGGCGGCAGGACCUGGCAGCAGGCAGGAUGUUCACCAGGCCAGGAGUGCGCAGGCCUACCCUCCAGCAGGUGAAGCUUUAGGCAACGUGGUUUGCGUGUCCUCCUCGUGCCAGGCCUGUGCUGGGCUUGGGGACCAAGGGAGGGGACAGGAUGAUCCUGACUUUCUGGAGCCCACAGCUGAGCUGCGGCGGGAGCAGGAGCGUCACGGUGAUGUGGCAGCAGAGGCAGUGGAAGGAGCCUGCCAGAGGCCCUGUGAGCCAAACCAGGAGUGAAGAGCUGGGGCCAUCGGUGAACACCAGGGCCUGGAUGGAGACCCCGCGGACUCUAGCUCGGACUUUCCCAGGAGCACGCAGAGCCGUGCGGUGGGGAGCUAGUCCGAGAGGCCAGCAGGCAUGGGGCAUGCCCGGCCUCAGCGUGGUGCAUGUUUAGGAGUUCGCUGUUGCCCUACGUAUGGAGGCCAGUACGUGUGCUCAGAAAGCCAACAUCAGGCGGCGGAGGCUGAGCCUCAACUCAGCGUGUGUCAGGGUUUGUUGAGUGAGUGCAAAGUCUGUUUUAAAAGGCGAUGUUCCAUGCUCAGAACACAUUUUACUUGAUUUUUAAACUCUGGUUUUGACUUCUAUCACACAAAAUAUCCUUCAUGUAGUAUAAUUUUCUCAGAAAGACCGCGUCACAAUGAUGAGAACACAGUCCCAAGUCUGGCGCUGAGCACCGUGCCUGGAGUCACAGCAAAGGUUAAUGAGACGCCCUGCUGCAGGGGUCGCGGGAAGCGCUGUUACACACGGUCACGUCCCACCUUUGGCAUCACCCAGCACGCCAGGCUGAGCUGGCGGCACCGGCUGUCUCCCUGCUGCGGAUGGCGGAGAAGUGGGAAGACCUGGCGGCCCUGCGAGCAGUCCCAGGAGCAGGGCCUCUGUCCGGUGAGCUGUGAGCCCAGGGCCGACGGUGGCCGCCGUGGCACAGGGAGCCAUGUGGCUCCUGGGCCUCAGGGGCUCCUGUUGCCGGCGUGGUGGAAUAGGAAGGAGCCCCUGGCCGGAGAAGGAGGCCCUGGCCGGGGUCUGCGCCCCAGGGAGAUAGGGAACAGCCCGCGGAUCUCACUCUGUGGCCCUGAAUCCCACACCUGAUGAGGCUCCCAAGUGUUGAGGAGCCUGAGGUGGUCAGUGGAAGGUCCCCCGUUCUCCCCCCAUCCCAACAGUUAAUGACGUGGAGCUGUGAGGAUUUUGCAGGUGUCACCUCUCCGUAGAUUAGCAUUUGGGUCCUUUGUCAACCUGGAUCCCUUACCUGUUUUCCUCCUCUUCCUUGAACUUGCAUCCAAUGAGCCUGCUGCGGUCACUAGAAUCACUUUUGUUGUCUGCGGUUCAGAGAGCCGUGUUAGCAUUUGGGACACACACGUGGCAUUCAGACUCGCUCGUGUAGAUCUGCGUUUCCUCUCAGAAUCCCACAGACUGUUCUUGGGGCAAAACCAUUCCUUUGCAACUUAAUUAUCAGCACGUGGAAUACAGUAUUCCCUGUCUGAGCUGGAAUGGAAGGAACCCAUCAUCUUUGAGUCCUAGCUCUUCAGAAAAAUGGCAGCUGCCGCCAGAUGUGAACUGGACACUUGAAAUUGGCAAACAGCUGGGAGUUAGUGUGAGGGAGAGAAACAGACAUGGGCUUGGGGCUGCGUACAGGUGGGUUCCGGAUCAGCUCUGCACUUACUGAUGUGGGACUUCGGAAUAGACACUUUUCAUGAUCACUCUGAGACCUGUUUCUCCAUCUUUAAAAUGGGGUGGUGCAGAAGCAAGCUCAUGGAGUGUUGGUGACGAUUCACAGAGGGGAACUGAAAUGUCCGGCACACGAGGGACACACAAGAAACAUUAGUUUCUAUGACCCUCUACAGUCAAUAAGCUAAUGAAUCCUCCCCAAAUAGCUUCUCCUUUAGAGUAGAAUCCCACUCAUUUUCACCACGGGACACCCGGAAGGAUGUUAGGGUCCUUUGUUUGGUUUGUGGUGAGUUGACUUUGCACUUUAAAAGGGAAAGAAGGAAACCUGUGGUACCUCAAACAAUGAGCCUUUUCAAAGCCUGCAUUGGACUCCCAUUUCAAAGAAUAUUCUUAUUAACAUACUUUCUUAUAAAUAGAACACUACUCAUCAAAUAUUCAUAAGCCGUGGCCCGAGAAGCCAGUGCAGCGCUGGGCCAGCCCAGGACAUCUCCUGUGCGCUGUGGGGUGGCGGAGGCCAGGGAGCCGGGGGGCUUGUGGCCUGGUUUGGGGGCUCCGGCAUGAGCCUGUCCUGGCCUGGUUCCUCCCGGCGCUGGGCCUGUUCUGGAGCCUGCCGGACUCCCACGCAGCCGGCUCUGUAGGCGACUCCCUUUGAAGUCCACGGGAGCUCUUUGAUGCAAGAAAGAGUCAGGCCUGAUGUACAUGGGGGAAUAGUGGUGCUUCUCACCCCAAAUAUUAGCUCUUUAGCCCAGAAAGUAUGGUUUUAUUAUUAAAUAAAAGACCCCCCCAAGAAACCCCACCAUCUACCUCCCAAGCUCCACCUUCCAUUCGCUGGGGAAGUGAUGCGCCUGCUAAUUGCCUGGGAGUUUAAUUAAGCAGCGGAUGCGGACAAUGCAGGCUCUGUUUUUACUUUAAACACAUCAGUAAAACAAACAUUCUCAAUUCCAGGGCAACUUGCUAAAUAAAAAAUAAACAUUACUAUCCUUUGAAAUAUCACUCAUCGAGUGUGAUAAUUUUGAAAAAUAUCUCUAUUACAGAUAGUUGCAGAUAUUUUUGGUUGGAAAUGCAAUCGCCAAUUGAGCACAAAUCUGCAAUUUGUAGACAGGUUAAGUAAAUUAUAUCACUCACUGUCUUUUUUUUUCUUCCAGUGGCUUUAAAAGUUAAAGUAAUUUGCAAAGAAAAUGCUCAAUUUGAAUUGGUUUGUAAUAUCUGUUAAUGAUCUUUUAAAAACCCCACUUAUUCACAACUCUGUCCCUGAGGGAACUCGGUGAGCGAUCAGAAAAAUGUCUGAAGUCUGAGGUGUCAUUAGCUAGUAUUUCUUUGAAAUAAAAAGCCCUAAAAAUAAAUUAUACAAGGUACACAAGUGCACAGGACAAUCAC